GACGAACGCUGGCGGCGUGCUUAACACAUGCAAGUCGAACGGAUAGGCCCUGCUUUUGUGGGGUGCUCGCGUGGCGAACGGGUGAGUAACACGUGAGUAACCUGCCCUUGACUUUGGGAUAUCUUCAGACAACUGGGGCUAAUACCGGCUAGGAGCUCCUGCUGCAUGGUGGGGGUUGGAAAGUUUCGGCGGUUGGGGAUGGACUCGCGGCUUAUCAGCUUGUUGGUGGGGUAGUGGCUUACCAAGGCUUUGACGGGUAGCCGGCCUGAGAGGUUGACCGGCCACAUUGGGACUGAGAUACGGCCCAGACUCCUACGGGAGGCAGCAGUGGAGAAUAUGGCACAAUGGGGGCAAGCCUGUUGCAGCAACGACGCGUGUGAGAUGACGGAUUUCUUGUGGUAAAGCGCUUUCACCUAUAACGAAGCUGGAGUGACGGUAAUGGGUAAAGAAGCACCGGCUAACUUCGUG
rnacentral:rRNA from 1 species